CUCAAAGAUUAAGCCAUGCAUGCAUGUCUAAGUGGAGUAUUAUAAAGCGAAACUGCGAACGGCUCAUUACAACAGAUAUAAUUUACUAGUUCUUGUUUAUAUACGGAUAACUGCGGUAAUUCUGGAGCCAAUACGUGCAUCAAGCCCCGGCUUUCGAGUUGGGGUGCAAUUAUUGGAGCAAAACCAGUCUCGUACUGUUUGCUAACUCAGGAUAAUUCUGCAUAUCGCAUGGUCUUGUGCCGGCGAAGUUUCUUUCAAGUAUCUGCUUUAUCAACUAUCGUUGGUAGUUUAUUGGUCUACCAUGGUGUUGACGGGUAACGGAGAAUCAGGGUUUGACUCCGGAGAGGGAGCCUUAGAAACGGCUACCAUGUCUAAGGAUAGCAGCAGGCGCGAAAAUUACCCAAUAUCAAAACGAUGAGGUAGUGACGAGAAAUAACAAGAUCGUUCUCUUUGAGAUCGAUUAUUGGAAUGAGUACAAUCCAGACAUUUUAACGAGUAUCUACGAGAGGGCAAGUCUGGUGCCAGCAGCCGCGGUAAUUCCAGCUCUCGUAAUGUAUAGAAUUAUUGUUGCGAUUAAAAAGUUCGUAGUUGGAUUGCAACGCAGGUGUGGGUCCACUCAUUGAGUGCGUACUCAACGCUUGCAUUUUGCAUGUUUUUGCGGCGUCGCUUCGGUGGCGUCCGUGAUGCAUGCAGGAUUACUUUGAACGGCUCAAGUGCUUAAAGCAAGUCUUAUGACUGAAUACCGGUGCAUGGAAUAAUGGAACAAGGUUGUGGCUGAGUUUUAUUGGUUUUGUCGGCUAAAACAAUGGUUAACAGGAACAGCCGGGGGCAUUCGUAUCGCUGCGCGAGAGGUGAAAUUCGUGGACCGUAGCGAGACGACCGACAGCGAAGGCAUUUGCCAAGAGUGUUUUCAUUAAUCAAGAACGAAAGUCAGAGGUUCGAAGGCGAUUAGAUACCGCUCUAGUUCUGACCGUAAACGAUGCCAACUGUCGAUCCGCUUGUGGAUUUUAUUCAUGAGCGGGGAGAUUUCCGGAAACGAAAGUUUUUCGGUUUCGGGGGAAGUAUGGUUGCAAAGCUGAAACUUAAAGGAAUUGACGGAAGGGCACCACCAGGAGUGGAGCUUGCGGCUUAAUUUGACUCAACACGGGAAAUCUCACCCGGCCAGUACAUCGUAAGGAUUGACAGACUGACAGCUUUUUCAUGAUUCGGUGAAUGGUGGUGCAUGGCCGUUCUUAGUUCGUGGAUUGAUUUGUCUGGUUUAUUCCGAUAACGAACGAGACUUUAACUAUUAAAUAGUACACUCGUUGCUUCGGCUGCGUGUGAUUACUUCUUAAAGGAAUUUGUGGUUUUCAACCUCAAGAAAUUGAGCAAUAACAGGUCUGUGAUGCCCUUAGAUGUUCGGGGCCGCACGCGUGCUACAAUGGUGGUAACAGCGUGAUUGUCCUUUUCCGACAGGAAUUGGCAAACAGUUGAGAUAUUAUUAUGGCUGGAAUUGAGUGUUGAAAUUUUCUCUCAUGAACGAGGAAUUCCAAGUAAAUGUGAGUCAUUAACUUGCAUUGAUUACGUCCCUGCCCUUUGUACACACCGCCCGUCGCUGCCCGGGACUGAGUUACUUCGAGAAAACUAGGGAUCGCCGGAGUUCGAUGCUUCGGCAUUGGCUUUGGUGAGAACUAGUUUAAUCGCAGUGGCUUGAACCGGGCAAAAGUCGUAACAAGGUAGC
rnacentral:rRNA from 2 species